UUUAUUUUUUCUAAAUUUUCUACAUAAACAUGUAUGUAUUUAGUAUUUAUAAAAAAUGAAAAUUACUUUAAAAAAUAUGAGCAGGCUUUCCCUAUAUUAAUCUGCAACAGUAUGUUUUUAUUCCAUAGUUUUACAUUCUUUUUUGUAACAGAUUUCUUUAAAAGCAAGCACUUCUCUUUUUCCUUCGACCUAGGGACUCUUUUUCGAUCAACAAUUUAACAUUUUGAUGAGAUUUAUUGUGGAUCAAACUCAAACUCCAAAUCUAAAGGUCAAAGUCGCAAUUCUAAAAUACAUCGAGUCUUUGGCCAGACAGAUGGAUCCAACAGAUUUUGUAAACUCAAGUGAGACAAGGCUUGCUGUUUCUAGAAUCAUAACGUGGACAACAGAACCAAAGAGUUCAGAUGUGAGAAAGGCAGCACAGAUUGUGCUGAUUUCUCUGUUUGAACUGAACACCCCUGAAUUUACCAUGUUACUUGGUGCCUUGCCGAAAACAUUUCAGGAUGGUGCCACCAAACUCCUGCAUAACCACCUCAAGAACGCUAGUAACACCAGUGUGGGAUCUCCAAGCAAUACGAUUGGCCGGACGCCCUCCCGACACCCCAGCAGUAGGACUAGCCCUCUGACCUCACCCACCAACUGUUCCCACGGUGGGCUAUCUCCAAGUCGGUUGUGGGGUUGGAGUGCCGAUGGGUUAUCGAAGCACCCACCUCCCUUUUCUCAGCCUAACUCCAUUCCCACCGCUCCCUCCCACAAGACUCUCAGGCGCUCUUACUCUCCCAGGUAACAAGCUACCUGUCACCCUUGUCUGAGGUGUCACAAUAUUAUUAUAUUUCCAAGGUCGUCUCAGGUCUCUGGGAAAGCCUCUCAGCUCCUCCAAUGUGGUCCCUGCUUCACCUUAGCCUCACAGGAGUAGAGC
rnacentral:lncRNA from 1 species